rnacentral:rRNA from 1 species
CACGUAGGGCGCGAGCGUUGUCCGGAAUUAUUGGGCGUAAAGAGCUCGUAGGCGGCCUGUUGCGUCCGCUGUGAAAAGCCCGGGGCUUAACCCCGGGUCGCAGUGGAUACGGGCAGGCUAGAGGUAGGUAGGGGAGAAGUGGAAUUCCCGGUGUAGCGGUGAAAUGCGUAGAGAUCGGGAGGAACAUCUGUGGCGAAGGCGGCCAUCUGGACCAGCACUGACACUGAGGCACGAAAGCGUGGGGAGCAAACAGG